AGUUCAAGGCCAUCCAGGCCUAAACUUUCUCUCCUCUGAGGGCUUCCAUGGGGAGCAGAGACUCUCCUCGUGAAAGGCCUCGGCCUCUGAAAUACAGCCAGGGCCCACAGGCAGCUCGGAGGCCCCGGAGGGAAACCUCCAGGAGGGCGGAGGGGCUCCUGCUUGGGCCGGGGUCCGGCUGGAUGACCUCUGGGGGCCCCUCCGGCCCUGGAUCCUCUGGGGCUCCCCUGAAAGAACCAGGAGGGGCUGCUGGUCUCCCCCCCUCCAACCUCCCUCCCCCCCUUUGGGGAACCUUCCCGACUCCUGGCUGGAGAGGAGAGAAAAUCUCCCCUCAGCCUUUUUCUCCCCUCAAAAUGGAGGGAGGGAGAAUCGGCUCAGGAAAAAAGAGGCCACAAAAUGGAGGGUCUUUGCCUGCUUUAGCUGUCCUGCUCGCUGCCUGUGGGGGCCAGCUGGGGCUGAAAGGCCGGACUGUAGGCUGCCCCCUACAGGCAGUGUGAGGGACAGCUAAAGCGUGGAAAGAGGACCCCGAGUGCUGGACAGGGGAUUCUGGGAGUUGAAGUCCAGAGGCCUUUGCUGAGGUUGAGCCACCUGCCCUGGGAGGCCCUGCACUGGACACUCGGACAGAUGACCUCCACUGAAGGGCCCCCAAGGGGGGGGAGGCCCAACCCCCCAUCCCCUUUUCCCUGACUUCACGGGGGCAGGAGGGGGAUAUGGGACACUGGGGGGCAACCAGGGAAUGAAGGAUUUUUCCCUCUUUUUUAACAUAUAUAUAUAUAUAUAUAAACUUUUUCUUUUCCUCCUCCAUCAGCAGAGGAUCUAAAGCCUCCACCUUCUUCCUUCUGGUUCCGUUGCUGGGCAGAGGCCGAGGCAGAGCCGGGGGAGCCGAGGGGGGAGGAAGGGCCAGGCCUCCCUUCCCCCCUCAGAGCCUCCAUCCUGGCUUCUCUCCUCAGGGGGGACCUGCUGGCCGAUCGGCCCAGGAAGCUCUUUGGGGGCCCCGAAGCCUCUGGAUCCAGGGGGGAGGAAGGUGGGAGCCUGGAUGGAGACCAUGGGAGAGAAGCCGGAGAGGCUCUUCCUCCUGCGAGGCUCCUCUUCAGCCCAGACUCUCCUCCGCCCAGUGUGGGGAAAGGUCCCCCCCCAGCCUCCCUGAGAGGAAAGCGGCCCCAGCCGCCCCUGCCCCCCUCCCCUGGGCCUCUCCUGGGCCCCCGUCUCUCUCUGGCCCCCUCCCCUCUGGGCCCCUCCAGGCUCCAGGGAGACCCAGCAGAGACCCUCCGGGAGGAGAGGAGCCCCUUCCCAGGCCUCCGCCUGGCCUUCCACCCAGAGCCCCCCAGGACCUCCUAGCCAGGCCCUGAGAGGAGAACCUGGGAUGGGGACCCUCCUCUCCCUUCAGAUCAGCCCCCUCCCCAGUUCUCCCUUCUGGGCAAAGGGGGACGUCUCCAUCUUCCUCAUCCAGAGAAGAGACACAAUCCGUCAACAAUGGAUCCCAAUGAACCAGGGACUCAGGUGCCCCAAGAGCAGCUUCAAAGCACUCGGAGGCUUUUUAGGGAAGGGGGCUUCACCCCACAGCCUCAGAGAUUGGAAAGUCAGAGGGGUCCCCCUUUUUAAAAUCAGCUCCAAUUUAUGAAGUUCUGACAUGAAAGAAAAUCCCAAACAGGCCCCACUCUUCACCUUAGGCAGAAUUCAAGGGGACUGAUUGCUUCCUCGGCCUUAGAAGAAAGGCAGCACGAGAGUUAAGGGUCACCAAUCUAGAGUGGCACCAAACUCCAUACUUCUGGGUGACCUUCCCCUGCAAGUCCCUGGAGACAAGAGACCCGGUUGAAGGACAGCAGAGGUCAAUUCCCUUGUUAUUGGACUAUCUUUCUCCAGCAUCCCUUUCCUGACACGUCCUGACUGGAAGGACCACAACCACGACAGGAAUUGACCCCAGGAGUGUAGUUGUGGCUUUUCACAAACAAGCUUUUCUCCAUCCUCUCCUCUGCACAUGGAGCCCAGAAGAAGUUCAGGAUCCCAAGAGGAGAAGUUGCUUCUCCCUGUAAUUAAUAAUGAUUAUCUGGGCCUUGGAGAUAUCCAUACCUGUGAUAGAGAGAGCAGAUUGAAGCCAUAAGCAAAGAAUCUUGUAUCAGAAAAGCAUAAAUUUGUCAAGCUCUGUGGGAACAAGUUUUGGGACAGGCAGGAUCUGUGCUCUUGAUUGUACGUUUCUCUCCUUUCCAGGUGAAGCUGAGUGUUUCUCUGUUUAUAUCAGGAAAGUCGCUGGCAUUUCAAUCUUCUGAGAGUGUUUUGAAUUGUUCCAACUGUUCCUGCUGUGGGUGUUAGAAACAGGAAGAAGAUUAAUAAAGCUCCAUGAAUUAUGGACCUCCUGCUUCUGCUUCUGAUGCUGCUGGUGUCCCAUCCAGUCUCUGGGAAGCUUGGAAGGAAAUGCCUGCUGAGUUUGGACCACCAGGAUGAAAAUACACCAUUGAGCUUUUACAGACCAGGAGACCAUCUCGUUGGUAUAGUUUUAACUGAAACACAAUUAUCACCUAUAAUGUUGCCUUUCCACAGUGCUCCUUCUAUACUUUCUCAUGCGUAAGUCAUUCAGGGUGAUGGAGCUGCAUCCCCUCCUAACACUCUCCUUCUUUUCUUCUUAUUUCACUUACUUUUAUAUUAUAGGACUUGUCUAAUUUCCUGAAUGAUUUUGAUUUCUAUAAUUUGCCUCUUUUUUAUUUUGUAGAAAAGACUCAAAUCCAAAGAUGGGGUUAAAAAACCUGAAGGCAAUGCAGAUUAUUUUCCUCUCCCCGUUCACUCCUGAGUUCAUCAGUUGAAUUCAUUUUGUUUAAAGGAGGGACUGAAACAGUUGUAGUUGCCUCUGCCCAGCCCAUUCCCAUGUUUCUAUAACUGAUUAUUGGUUUUGGAUCAAUAUUGGCUUAAGACUCAGUAGGUUUAUGGAGGCAAAAAGGAAUAAAUUCUUUUAAAAAGUUUGUUGUUACUGUUGAUAAUAACUUGAACAUUUUUCUACAGUACGUUUUCUUCUAGUUUUAUAUACACCCUACUAUUCAUUUUCAACAUUCAAGGGGUCACCAAGAACUCCCAGCUCCUGCACAAUCUCACACUGGGCUACAACAUCCAUGACAACUAUUUGAAUACUUUACACACUUCAGAUGCCUUGCUGGACAUGCUCUCCACUGGAGAAGCCAAUGUCCCCAACUACGGCUGUGGAAGGAAGGAGAACCUCCUGGCUCUUCUUGAUGCAGCUGACAGGGACAUCUCCAUCCAGGCAUCAACAUUAGCAGCACCUUACAAAGUCCCACAGGUGCUUUUUUCAAGAGGCAACUGGACUUUCUGGUUUUUCUUUGAAGACCUUUUGCUUCUCAUCCAGAGCUGAAGAACCUGGACGACUGAGAAUCUCCAUAGACAUAUCAGUAAUAACCUUGUUUCAGAGGCUCUGAGUGAUAAAAGGAAAUUCCCCUUUUUCCACCAGAUGCUCCCCAAAGAAGGAUUCCAGUACCCAGCAAUUGUCCAACUGCUCCUCCAUUUCAGAUGGACCCUGAUUGGCCUCUUUGCUUCAGACACAGAGAAGGGAGAGAAUUUCAUGAGGAUUUUUAUUCCUAUGCUUGUCAGGAAUGGAAUUUGUGUGGUUAUAUCACAACUGUUCUCAACAACUGGAUACACAGCUUCCCUCAGGGAUUCCCUCUCUAAGUGGAGACAAGUCAACGUCUUUGUUCACUUCAUAGAAAAUGUUACCAUUUUGGGGAGAAUUCUGCCUUUCCAUUUAACACUUAUGCGUUUGCCAGGAUCCACUGAAGGGAAAGUCUGGAUCUGUACAGCUUUGGGAAGAUUAAUUUUGAUAAAGCACAGACUUUACAAAUACAUCCAUAGUAUUUGGAACUUUGGUUAUCUGGCAAAAGAAAGGCCAAUGGAUUCUGCCUUUGAACCCCAUUUCUUUGUGGAAGAAAAGUUUCAAGAUCUUUAUUUCCGCUGUUCUCUUUCAAAGAAUGUCUUUUCUGUCAAAGGCCGCAGAAGAUGCACCCAGAAAGCCCCACUGGAGACCCAGGAGGAAAAAAACAGAAGAAGGUUCACAAAUUAUCCCCUUGUGUACAGUAUGAUUCAGACUCUGGUCCAGGCCUUGAAUGCCGCUUAUUCCUCCAGAUGGAGAAGGGGAAGGAAGGAGGGCGAAGGGAGGUUGGGGGCUCCAAGGCAGCCGUGGCAGGUAUGGGCUUCUGAUAUUGUCAGAUAUGAAGUAUUGCUUCUAAAAUAAUGUUUCAUUACAGCUUUUGCUUCUGCGUAAUAAAUAAAUAAAAUAAAGAACUAGAAA